GUUGAUCCAAAUUUGCGUGGAACAAAUCCAAUAAAGAUAAAAUCUUUCAAAUUCUCAACUCAACAUAAUUUUAUCAAUUCGAUUUAUUAUCUGUUUUUGUUUAAGAAAAUCAGAUUUUCUGCCCUCUAUUUCCUCCUUUCAUGGAGAACUGUCAGUCGUCGUCAUCAAUGGUACUCUGAAAUGACGGAAAGCUCCCUCUAACAUAGUCCAGAUCAGGGGCAGUUAACGUCAAAUUAGAAAUAUAGGAAAAGUAUCUAAGAAUAAAAUAUUACUAUUACAAUAAUAAUAUAAUAAGGUUGACAGUAUCAUCAUAGAAGCAAAAGCGAGAAGUCCGUUUUCUUCUUUCCUGAGCCAAUCGUUAUUCAACUAUUUUAUGCCCAAAGAGGAAUUAGGGUUUAUUUCAGUUCAAGAACGAGCGUAUCAGAAACAAAUUAUUUAUUCGAAGCCGAAGCCUUGUGGUCAAUUGCUAAAACCCUAAUUCCUGAGUUGAAUUGCUUGCUUCUGGAGCAUAUUUGAUUGGAAUUUGUGCUUGGCGAAGCUCACAUUUACCUCUUGGAUCUCUCUGUUUCAUCGAGAGAUAAUGCUGUACCUACGCACUUGUUGCUAAUUGAUGGAUCCUGAUUGCAAGAGUUUUGGAAGAGGGGCCAGAGAACUUACAGGUGCUGUGGAUCUUAUCAGUCAUUUCAAAUUGUUGCCUCAUCACGAGUUCUUCUGCAAGAGGUCACUUCCGUUGUCUAUUUCAGAUACCCACUAUCUUCACAAUGUGGUGGGAGACACAGAAAUUAGGAAAGGGGAAGGGAUGCAGUUGGAUCAGCUUAUACAGGACACUUCCUUGUCAAGAGAGACGAGUUCCCGCAUCCAGCCAUUUGACCUAGAUGUUCUUGGAGAAGCUUUUCAACUACGUGAAGCGGCUCCAGUUGUUCUGCCUCCUUCUGAGAAAGGCAUCCCAACUGUAGCUGGAAAAUCUAUAAGUGAGUCGAAAGACAAGGAUAAGAAGCGUAAAAAGCACAAAGAUAAGGACAAGGAGAAGGACAAAGAGCAUAAGAAAAACAAACAUCGGCAUAAAGAUCGAAGCAAAGACAAGGAUAAAGAGAAAAAGAGAGAUAAAAAUGGUCAUCAUGAUUCUGGUGCUGAUCAUUCGAAGAAACAUCGUGAGAAGAAAAGGAAGCAUGAUGGAGAGGAUCUUAAUGACGUUCACAAACACAAGAGAAGCAAGCACAAGAGCUCAAAGAUUGAUGAGAUUGGUGCAGUAAAGGUAGCAGCCUGAAAUAUGGCGUGUGGUUCUAUCAUUUGUUUAAUCCUCAGACUUUGCAGUUGAGAAUUUCGAGGGAUCCUUUACUUAGUAUUGUGAAAAAUCUGAGGGUUUAUGUGGGCGCUUCUGUUUGUGAAAUCCCAAGAGUUAUUCUGCAUGGGACAUUAGUUUGAUGUGUAAUGAAAUGGGACAUUGGUACUGUGUGGAAAUGUGGUAUUCAUUACAAGCGAGGCAAUUGAAGCAUUAAUAAAAAGUGCCUAUGUGUCCUUUUUCAGUGGCGUAUUCUGUUAGUCUGCCCCCUUUUUGAUCGGUCAGCAACACCUUACAAAGGUUUAUUUGACAUGAAUUGCCUUUGGACUAACUAAAGAUUUCCAAGAAGGUGAAUUCACCUGUUGAAGUAGAUUGUAGUGCACGGUACAACUGUUGAAAAGCACCAGAAUGUGUAAUAUAAAAAAAGGACUUUCUUAUAGUUGGUAAUGACACCGGUAACCUUGAUCCCUUCAUUCAGCUUUAGUGACUUACUGCAUGGUGUGUUGUGGUCAUUUGUGUGCUCUCCCUCUUUCAAAUGCUCUAAUCUCCAGGCUUAGUGUUUAACCAGCAGCUUUGGGUAAUACGAAAAGAAGUUUUGAUAUGAGUGCUGGUGUGGUCUUUUCUGAUUUGUCCUUCCCAUUGAGCUUGAAGGUGAUCCCUCAUCAGCAGUCAAAUACCCAAACAUGGGAGGGGAAAAUGUUUAAAAGGAUGUCUAUAUGUACAAUGCUAGGAAUUCUGCUCGUCAUGGCUAGAUAUUCUUGUAUAUACUAAGCUAGAAAUGAGAUCAAAUAAUUGUUUGACAUGAAAUCCUGGUAAUAUAUGUAUUCAUGUUUUGCUAAACUGGCGCUCCUUGUGCUAAUAGAUCCUAUCGUUCUUGGA